rnacentral:rRNA from 1 species
GACGAACGCUGGCGGCGUGCUUAACACAUGCAAGUCGAGCGAUGAAGUUCCUUCGGGAAUGGAUUAGCGGCGGACGGGUGAGUAACACGUGGGUAACCUGCCUCAUAGAGGGGAAUAGCCUUUCGAAAGGAAGAUUAAUACCGCAUAAGAUUGUAGUAUCGCAUGAUACAGCAAUUAAAGGAGUAAUCCGCUAUGAGAUGGACCCGCGUCGCAUUAGCUAGUUGGUGAGGUAACGGCUCACCAAGGCGACGAUGCGUAGCCGACCUGAGAGGGUGAUCGGCCACAUUGGGACUGAGACACGGCCCAGACUCCUACGGGAGGCAGCAGUGGGGAAUAUUGCACAAUGGGGGAAACCCUGAUGCAGCAACGCCGCGUGAGUGAUGACGGUCUUCGGAUUGUAAAACUCUGUCUUCAGGGACGAUAAUGACGGUACCUGAGGAGGAAGCCACGGCUAACUACGUGCCAGCCGCCGCCGUAA